CUCUUAUCCAGAGUGGUCGAGGGACUGGCCCGAUGACGCCCGGCAACCGGCUUUUCAGAGCAGUGGUGCCAAAUCCAGCAGAACUUUUGGGUUCUGAGAGAUGAGAG
rnacentral:ncRNA from 2 species